rnacentral:rRNA from 1 species
UCCGUAGGUGAUUACCUGCGGAAGGAUCAUUG